CCGCACAUAUCGAUCGCGAUGGACAAGAAUCGAACUCGUGGCCAAAGGAAUGGAGAAACGAUAUGGAGUCCGAGGCCCUUGAGUUUAACUCUUCAAGACCGGUUUUUCAACCCGGAUCUCAAUCUCAAUCUCAAU
rnacentral:ribozyme from 1 species